GGGCAACAGUGAAGCGAAAGUGACGAGCGCUGGCUAUACAGAAAGUGCAAUUUUCCUUCCGUGACAACGUGUGACAAGUGGUUUCCGUGUUUGUGUGUGUGUAUGUGUGCGUGAGUGUGUGAAAUUGUUGGGAAAACCUUCGUUACCAUCGAAUCAUCUAACCUGGGAGGAGCUGGCAGGGAAAACCCCAACCCUCGAUUCAAGCUGGUCGCAGAUGUUGUUGGGAGAGAAUGUUCUGGCCUUUCGGUCCUGCACCGAUACACGAACCAUAUCCUACGUUGGGGGGAUGAAGAAUUGGAAUAUGUUUUAGGAUGAGAAAUUAACCGAGUAAACGUGGCGCUUGCUGUAUUUUUACGCGUUACAUAAUACGUAAGCGUACGCCGGUUUCGCAAUUCCCAAAUAGAAUCGCGUUGUUUACGUUUCGGCAUCAUACCUCGCUGCACAUUACAUCCACCUUCCUUCCACCAGCAAAGAUCCGGCCGUGAUCGUACUCAACGGAAUUACACCCUGUUCGCGCGUGGGGGUUGAGAAUCGGUGCGUAUGAGCGUGAUGUGCAAUAGAAGCCGACGACGAUGAAAGCAGUUGAAAAAGAAAACGAUCAGAUCGUUUAUCGAUGCGUUGAUUUGAUUACAUUUCGAUUGAGCGGUUGAAGGGCGUUAGUGGAAAGCUAGGACAGUGUAAUCUUUAGUGGCCGGCUAAAGUGUUUUCGUUAAUGGUUGAUACACGCAAAAUUGUUAGCCGGGUUUAAGUGAGUGGUUAUGGUGGGUCUAUUGUCCAUCAAGACAUCAAUCAAUCAAUAUGAAUCUUCGGUAUUUAGAUUGAUAGCUGUGGCAAGCAGGGAAAAGGAGUCUGUACAGCCAUAAAGAC